UGGGGAAUUUUGGACAAUGGGCGAAAGCCUGAUCCAGCAAUGCCGCGUGUGUGAAGAAGGCCUUCGGGUUGUAAAGCACUUUUGUCCGGAAAGAAAUCCUUGGCUCUAAUACAGUCGGGGGAUGACGGUACCGGAAGAAUAAGCACCGGCUAACUACGUGCCAGCAGCCGCGGUAAUACGUAGGGUGCAAGCGUUAAUCGGAAUUACUGGGCGUAAAGCGUGCGCAGGCGGUUUGCUAAGACCGAUGUGAAAUCCCCGGGCUCAACCUGGGAACUGCAUUGGUGACUGGCAGGCUAGAGUAUGGCAGAGGGGGGUUAGAAUUCCACGUGUAGCAGUGAAAUGCGUAGAGAUGUGGAGGAAUACCGAUGGCGAAAGGCAGCCCCCCUGGGCCAAUACUGACGCUCAUGCACG
rnacentral:rRNA from 1 species